GACGAACGCUGGCGGCGUGCUUAACACAUGCAAGUCGAACGGUGAAGCGCCUUCCUUUUUGGUGGGUGUGGAUGAGUGGCGAACGGGUGAGUAACACGUGAGUAACCUGCCCCCUUCUUCUGGAUAACCGCAUGAAAGUGUGGCUAAUACGGGAUAUUCUGGGUCUGUCGCAUGAUGGGUCUGGGAAAGAUAUUGUUUCGGUGGGGGAUGGGCUCGCGGCCUAUCAGCUUGUUGGUGGGGUGAUGGCCUACCAAGGCGGUGACGGGUAGCCGGCCUGAGAGGGUGGACGGUCACACUGGGACUGAGACACGGCGCAGACUACUACGGGAGGCAGCAGUGGGGAAUAGUGCACAAUGGGCGCAAGCCUGAUGCAGCGACGCCGCGUGAGGGAUGGAGGCCUUCGGGUUGUGAACCUCUUUCGCCAGUGAAGCAGGCCUGCCUCGUUUGUGGGUGGGUUGACGGUAGCUGGAUAAGAAGCGCCGGCUAACUACGUG
rnacentral:rRNA from 1 species